CUCAGCCCAGUCCUCUUCUGGGCCGGAGACCCCGGCCAGCCAGCAGCCGCCCCACCCGUGUCCCCUCCCCUCACUGUGACCCUGAUGUCUGAAUGAGGGCCCUGCUGCUUCACGUUGGUGUCCUCGGGGACCGUCAUGGUCCUGCCCCAGGGACAGAGGCCGGCCCAUAAGCCCAUCUGGGAGUCGUUCCCGCUCUCAGUGAGCUCAGCUUGGCUUCCCAGGAGCGGGGGCCCGGGGAGGACCCCUGAGAAGUGGUUUAAGGCAGGGGGAGAGAGGAGAGCAGGACUCAGCACAGCGUGCGUCUCUGUAGGAAUCUGUUGCAAGGAUUGGCUCCGGCCCUGGUGGAGCUGGCGAGUCCGGGUCGUGUGGUGCGGGUUGACUGCGGAGAACCAGGAGAGCCGAGGGUGCGGAGAGAGGGCGUCGGCCGGGGGCUGCUCAGGCCUUCACCUGCUCAGAUGAGCCCCACCCACGUGAAGCAGGGCACAAUGCCUACUCAAAGUUCCCGGAUUUAAGUGCUAAACAUCCUUCAACCUGACACCUGGGAAGAGCCAUUAUGGCGGCGGUGGGGGGGUGGCGCGGCUGGAGUCUUGAAAGCAGCACAGGGAAAGCUCAGUCCAGGCGGGGGUAACGAGCUGCCCCACCGGGCCCGGGGCCUGGCUGUGGAGUGGGCAUGACGGGAGGCCACUGUCUGCGCAGAGAGGACUCCAGGCAGAGCCUCAGAGGGAGGCACAGCCACCAACAGGAGCCUCAGCUGUGGUCAGGGAGGACAGCGGGGUGCCCCCGGGAGAAGGGGGGAGUUGAUUGCCCGGGAUGGGGUGGUGCCCAGGAGGACGGAGCCACAGCCUUGGUUCACUCCUGCUCCUCUGAGGGUGUCUGGGGGUCAGCAAAGAAAGUUCCAGUCCCCAGGCAGGCGUGUACUCUGAGCCGCGCCCUGGUGCUGGGAGAGGCAGCCUAGUCCAGGGCCGGGGGGCAGGCUGCGAGCUCAGACGCGGCUGGCUUCCACUCGCGGCUCUGCGCUUCCUAGCCAGGGGGACGGAAGUCACUGCUGGCUCCACCUCAGGUUUCUGCCCAACCAAGGGAGCUCUUUGUGCAGAACACACAGGAGGAGGUGAAAUCCGACACCUCUCAGGGUUAGUCAAUGGAAUCAGCCUUGGUCAGGAAGUUUCUAAUUGAAAGAAACUCAAACUGGCUUAAGCCAGCAGCAGGAUGGAAGUUCCUGGCUCACAGGACCUGAAGCCACGAGGUCAGGUCUGGCAGCAUCCAGGCCUUUCCCCUGUGUGCUUUCAGCCUUGCUGUCCUGCUAGGGGCUUCUGAAGCAGCGGCGAGACACGCGCCCGCCCACAGGCUGCACUCCCGCCUUGCCAUCAGCCCCAGGGUAGCGGGUGCUCCCUUUAAGAGAACAACCAGUGGUUUUCCAGUAAGUUCCUUGCAUGGGCAGCUGUCACCACAGUCAGUGGCAGCUCCGGGUCCAGGUCCUCCCUGGGGUUCUCCCCACCUCCAUCUCCAGGCAAUCACGAAUUCACUUCCUGUCCCUAUCGGUUGCCUUUUCUAGACGUUUUACAAGAAGGAAUGAUGUACUCUGUGGUUUUCUGUGCCUGGAGUUCUUAGCACAUUUUUGAGGGUCACUCUUUCUGUAGUGCAAAUCAUCAGCAGUCAUAUAAAGAUGUAUGUAUUUAUUUGAAAGGCAAAGUUAGAGAGGGGGGGGGCAGAGAGAGGGAUCUUCCAUCUGCUGGUUCACUGUCCAGAUGGGCCAGGCUGAGACUUCUUCCAGGUCUCCCACGAGGGUGGCAGAGGCCCAAGCACCUGAGGCGUCCUCCACUGUUUUUCCCAGGUGCAUUAGCAGGGAGCUGGAUGAGAAGUGGAGCAGCCGGCACUGGGACUGGAGCCUGUAUGGAAUGCCAGUGCCCGCAGGCCGAGGUGGGGCACGUGCUGGGACACCCGUCUGAGGAUGCUCGGACCCCACAAGGCCAGGAGCACUCAGGCCAGCCAUCUGGCCAAGCAACCUGGUAAAAGUCGCUUCUGAACGCCUGCACCCUUUGACCUGACAAGACCCCGGCAUCAGGGAUAAUCCGAGACUAAGAUGCAGUCACAGGAGGGCUUGGUCCCCUGGUGUCGUUUGCUGUGGCACAGUUCCAGUGCCAGCCCCAGGGGUCAGCCCCUCAGUAACAGAGCAGCCACGUGGCGGAACGUAGCCACUAACAAGGAGACAGGCGACAAGUGACUCACACUGGGAAACUGCUGAUAAAAUAAACAGCAAGAGAAAAAAAAAGCGACA
ensembl:lncRNA